AUUUCCCACCUACUUUUGUAGGUUGUCUACUCUUUCCAUAGUGCCCUUAACAUAUUCAUCAUAGUUAUUUUAAAUUCUCUCUCUGAGUCUGGUUCUGAUUAUUGCUUUUUUCUUCAUCAUGCGUAUCCUUUCGCCUUUUAUCAUGACUUCUAAUUUCUUCUACUUUUUUUCUAAAAGUCAGGCAUUUUAUAUCAAGUAGUAAGAACUGAAUUAAAUAGGACUUAGGUGUGGGGAUUUAUGUUAAUAUGGCUUUGAAUUGGACUCUGUUUAGUGUUUGUUAUAGCUAUAGGUUUUUGUAGCCGGAAGCUUCAAACCCUUCUAUGGUCCUUGUUUUUAUCUCCUCCUUGAUGUUGGGCUUCCCUAAGUGUUCCUCUUCAGAAAGAAUCUGUCUUAUGGCUUUUUCAGAUGCAAUCCACUAUUUUUUAUUUUGGGUUCCUGUUGGUGUGCUAGUAAAAAGUGGGCAACAGGGAGUGUUCUAUAAUCUUCCAAUUAAAGUUCAGUGUUUUACUGGGACUAUAUCUCAGGGCUGUGAACUCCAGAAACAUUUCUCCAGUGGUUUAGCUUUUUCUCCUCCUGCCUCUGCUCCCUAUUCUGACUAAAGCUUCCCAUCACUAUUUCCUUGAAGGUCCUACCUCUAUUUGUUUUUCCACCUGGAAUGAGACAGGAAUGCCAGAGCAAGCUGGAGUGACAGAAAAAUCUCCUCCCCAAAGCUGGGAUAAGAAGGCUCUGGUGAAGUCUAUUCUGAAAGGAAGGUGUUUGUUAUGCAGAAGGCUCCAGCAUAUUUCACAACGACUAUUCUGCCUCUUCUCUGCCAGGCUCACAGAAAUAAGUUGCACUGGACUAAUAAUUCUUAAAACUGAGUUCUUAAGAUAAUGAAUGGAUGAGACUAUAUAUAAGGACCAUAGCUGAAUAAAUGGAGAAACAAUAAGGAAGUAAGUUGCCAGUGCAGGAAAGCAAACUAAGUCAUUGGACUAUAGUCUUCUAGGAAGAAACAAAAUGAUUCAACGGAAAUCAAAUGAUGACAAGGAUGAAGAUGACAACCACAUAGAUGAAAAGAGGAUAGUAUUACAUGGAGAAAUAAUUCCUCCUCAUUGUGCAGAAGGCCAGACUGAUGUGGACAGAGUGCAGAGUAAUGAGAUUAACCUUCCAAUGUCACUUGUCAGCUGCCUAAUUCUUUAAACCGCUCCAGAAACCAGGCACAAUUUUGUGGUAUUGAUAAAGAAAUAAAUCAUGGUUGAAGAUUAUGUUUUGGGUAUCUGUUAAAAAGUGGAACAAAGAGCUAUUUACCAUUGCUUAUCUCAAGUAAUAAUAGUUACGAAGCACUCAUUCAUCAAAAAGCUAACUUCUGACCUAGAAGUUCCAUUUAAAAUUUGGUCUUCCUUUCCUUAAAAUCAUCGGCAUUGUAGUUAGCUGGUAGAUUUCUUUUUCAGACGCAUUCAUUGGUCCUCUAG
rnacentral:lncRNA from 1 species